GACGAACGCUGGCGGCGUGCCUAAUACAUGCAAGUCGAACGAAGCUGUUUUAACUGGUGCUUGCACCGACUUAAACAACUGAGUGGCGAACGGGUGAGUAACACGUGGGUAACCUGCCCCAAAGCGGGGGAUAACAUUUGGAAACAGAUGCUAAUACCGCAUAACCACAGAAACCACAUGGUUCCUGUGUCAAAGAUGGUUUCGGCUAUCACUUUGGGAUGGACCCGCGGCGUAUUAGCUAGUUGGUAAGGUAAUGGCUUACCAAGGCAAUGAUACGUAGCCGAACUGAGAGGUUGAUCGGCCACAUUGGGACUGAGACACGGCCCAAACUCCUACGGGAGGCAGCAGUAGGGAAGCUUCCACAAUGGACGAAAGUCUGAUGAGCAACGCCGCGUGAGUGAAGAAGGUUUUCGGAUCGUAAAUCUCUGUUGUCAGAGAAGAACGUGUGCGAGAGUAACUGCUCGUGCAGUGACGGUAUCUGGCCAGAAAGCCACGGCUAACUACGUGCCAGCCGCCGCAGUAA
rnacentral:rRNA from 1 species